rnacentral:rRNA from 1 species
UAGGGAAUCUUCGGCAAUGGACGAAAGUCUGACCGAGCAACGCCGCGUGAGUGAAGAAGGUUUUCGGAUCGUAAAACUCUGUUGGUAGAGAAGAACGUUGGUGAGAGUGGAAAGCUCAUCAAGUGACGGUAACUACCCAGAAAGGGACGGCUAACUACGUGCCAGCAGCCGCGGUAAUACGUAGGUCCCGAGCGUUGUCCGGAUUUAUUGGGCGUAAAGCGAGCGCAGGUGGUUUAUUAAGUCUGGUGUAAAAGGCAGUGGCUCAACCAUUGUAUGCAUUGGAAACUGGUAGACUUGAGUGCAGGAGAGGAGAGUAGAAUUCCAUGUGUAGCGGUGAAAUGCGUAGAUAUAUGGAGGAACACCGGUGGCGAAAGCGGCUCUCUGGCCUGUAACUGACACUGAGGCUCGAAAGCGUGGGGAGCAAACAGGAUUAGAUACCCUGGUAGUCCACGCCGUAAACGAUGAGUGCUAGAUGUAGGGAGCUAUAAGUUCUCUGUAUCGCAGCUAACGCAAUAAGCACUCCGCCUGGGGAGUACGACCGCAAGGUUGAAAC